GAUGGAAAGAUGAUUACUUACCAAAGCUGUAGGAGUCAGGAUGGAUCAGUAAUCAAAGAGGGGAUGUCCUUGGCAUAUAUGAACAGGGAAAAUGAGGUUGAAAUCGGACUCUUCAAGAGAGGAUAUUUGUUACUUCUAGAGAAACAGAGGAAGUCUUUGAUUACUGUAGAGAAAGGACACAUCCAGACAACAUCAUUUCUAGGUUGCCCUAUUGUGCACUUCAUGAACGAAACUGAUGUAGUUCCCCUCCACAGAGUUCUUUCCUAUGUUCCUCUUGUUCACCAUUGCGGUCACUCCCACUGCACCAUCAGAGAAGGAAGAACUACUAUCAGAGUGGAACAAGAGGACAAAGAUGUUUAUAGAAGAUUUGUUGUACAUAACAUGAAUCAUGCUGUCAAAGUAUAUGUAGUUAAUGUGUAUUCCCUUAAAUGUCCAUCAGGAAUUCCUUCUGCAGAUCUCAAAACCUGCUCCAAAAAAUUGUAAAUCAUUUUCUGCUGUAUAACAAUGCGUAUAUAUAAUUGUGCAAGAAGAGUUUUGCUACUUUAGGUUUGCUAUUGCGUAAUAUGCUUUUACUGAUCACUUUAUCAAAGUGCGAUGGUUUGUAUGAAAUGUAUGAAAAGACAAUAUUUGUGGGAUUUUUUUAUUAUUGAGAGUAUGUUUUAUAACUAAAGAGAAUAUUUUGGUGAUAACUGUGUGGUGUGCGUUUUUGUAAUGGAAGUUUUAUAUCAAGAAUGUACAUAGUUUAUGCACUCAACUUACAUGUUAUGAACAUUUAUGACGUUAAAACUUACCGUACAUGUUUAUUCUUUAAGAUUCUGUAUACAAUUACUCUCUAUAGAUCAUUAUGUAAAUUUCUUAUGACCACAGUGGGAACUAGUUUUGAAAACUUAUUGUGCUGGCUAACUAAAGAACAUUCUUCUUAUCAUUAUUACAUAUUAUCAUUUUCAUUCUGCUAAUUUUUUGUAAAUUAAACUAUAAAAAUGUUUUGCAAUUUAAGUAGUGUGGCUUAAAUUGAAUUGUUUGACAAAUCAUCCCAAAAGCUUUGUAAAUAAUUGACAUUGACUUCAUUAUAUUAUAUAGAAUGAAUCAAAUUUUCAACUGUGUUAAACUAUAUUAUUAAUUUUGGACAGUUUAUGCUUUAUAAACUUCAAAACUUGUAUUUGCGAAAUAUCUGAUAUAGUUUUUCAGUUAAACUUACUUAUCCUCUUUGCAUAUACACUGUAUAAGAUUUCUUAGAUAGCAAAUUAUUAUAUAAUGUACAAAUAAAUAAAUAUCAAGUGAAUU
rnacentral:misc_RNA from 1 species